rnacentral:rRNA from 1 species
GUCUGUAUGAAGUUACAUGGAGUCUGACCUGCCCAUUGAAAAAAUUAAAAGGCCGCGGUAUAUUAACUGUGCAAAGGUAGCAUAAUCAUUAGCUUUUUAAUUGAAAGCUUGUAUGAAGGGUUUGACAAAGAAAAUUCUGUCUUUAUAUUUAUAUUUGAAGUUAACUUUUAAGUGAAAAGGCUUAAGUAAUUUAAAGGGACGAUAAGACCCUAUAAAUCUUUAUACUAUGAUUAAUUUUUUUAUUUAUUAAUAAAGGUUUAAAUUGAUAAACAAAAUAAUGUGUAUUUUGUUGGGGUGACAAGAAUAUAAAAAUAACUGUUCUUAAAUGAAACAAAGUUAUUUGUUUAGAAUUAAUAGAUCCUUUUUAAAGAUUAAAAGUUUAAGUUACUUUAGGGAUAACAGCGUUAUUUUUUUUGAGAGUUCUUAUCGAAAAAAAAGUUUGCGACCUCGAUGUUGAAUUAAGAAAUUCUCUAUGGUGUAGAAGUUGUAGAAGGAAAGUCUGUUCGACUUUUAAAAUUUU